rnacentral:sRNA from 1 species
UCUGACUCUAACCAUUUGUUGAGAA